rnacentral:rRNA from 1 species
CCUACGGGAGGCUGCAGUCGAGAAUCUUCCGCAAUGGACGAAAGUCUGACGGAGCGACGCCGCGUGGAGGAUGAAGUGCUUCGGUAUGUAAACUCCUUUUGCCAGGGAAAAAGUUUAUUGAUUGUACCUGGAGAAUAAGAGGUUGCUAAACUCGUGCCAGCAGCAGCGGUAAUACGAGUGCCUCGAGCGUUAUCCGGAAUUAUUGGGCGUAAAGGGUGUGUAGGCGGUUGUGUUAGUCUCGCGUUAAAUCUCUUGGCUCAACUGAGAGGCUGCGUGGGAAACGGCAUAACUAAGAGGAUGGAAGGGGUCUCUGGAACUCAUAGUGUAGCGGUAAAAUGCGUUGAUAUUAUGGGGAACACCGAAAGCGAAGGCAAGAGACUGGUCCACUCCUGACGCUGAAACACGAAAGCGUGGGUCGCGAAUGGGAUUAGAUACCCUGGUAGUC